UUCAGGCAUCUUCUACUCCAUCCGCUUAGCUCUCUUUCUCCUCUGCUCCAUCCCCACCUACCUCCUGCGCUCAAUAGCCAUGGAUGAGCUCCACCUUUUCCAUCGCCUCUCAAGGCGACCCCCAUCCCCUCCCCCACAGCACCAUCCUACUUCCAAUCAGGGGCGUAGCGCCGCUGCUGCAGCCUAGAGGCCUUUGGCAACGCGAACGUCAACGUCCUGCGGCAUGCCGGAACCGGUGAAGCCACCGUGCUACAACCGAUGAGGUGCCGUGCUUCCAUGGCGUCACCACGCCAACCGGUGUGCUGCAACCGUGUUCAGCACGAGCUGGAACAGGACGACGUGGAUGUUGCGACCGCGAUCACCACGGCCGCAUGCUGGGAACCGGCAUGGCAAGGAGCUGGAACCGGCACCGGCUUUGUGCUUUUGCUGGAACCGGCAUGUUAUUUUGCUGGAAGUAGCUUGAUUUUUUGCUACAAUCGACUCUGGAGCUUUUCCUUGCUAAAUUUGCUUUUGCUGGAACCGGCGCAUAUUUUUGCUGGAAGCUAGUAUUUUUUUGCUACAACCAUUGAAGCUUUUUUUGCUGGAACCGGGGCAGCAAAAAGCUACAUCCAGCACUGCCGGCGAUGGAGACGACGUCCUGCGGUGCUACAUCCAGGGCUCGCCGGCCACCACGGUGAUCGAGAUGUUACGACGGUGAGAUCGGACCGACGAGCUGCGGCAUCAAGCGUGAGCGGCGACGAGCACGAUGGCGAGCUAUGGCCCUCGCCAUUGAAGCUGCAAUCGUCGCCACCGGAGCUACAACCACGGGUGCCGAUGUUACAUGCGUGGAGCUGGCCACCGGCGGCGACGGCGACGGCGAUCAUCGGCGACGGUGACGACCAACGGCGAGGGGCGGCGACCGGCGAUGACCAUCGGCGGGGGGCCGCGACCGGUGGUGAUUUUGAAGUUGGUCGCGCUCGCUCAUCCAUGGCAGCGGUGCCCGCUGCUCCUUUUUUCCGCUGUGCUCGCGAGAUUCAUUUUUUUUAAGAAAGGAACUGCACGAGAGCCCAA